rnacentral:rRNA from 1 species
AUUGAACGCUGGCGGCAGGCCUAACACAUGCAAGUCGAGCGGAGCGGCGGACGGGUGAGUAAUGCCUAGGAAUCUGCCUGGUAGUGGGGGAUAAGGUCCGGAAACGGGCGCUAAUACCGCCUACUCUCAGCUGAACCUCGGUCGGAUUAGCUGGUUGGGGGGGUAAAGGCCAACAAGGGCGACGGUCCGUAACUGGUCUGAGAGGAGGAUCAGUCACACUGGAAUUGAGACACGGUCCAGACUCCUACGGGAGGCAGCAGUGGGGAAUAUUGGACAAUGGGCGCAAGCCUGAUCCAGCCAUGCCGCGUGUGUGAAGAAGGUCUUCGGAUUGUAAAGCACUUUAAGUUGGGAGGCGUUACCAACAGAAUAAGCACCGGCUAACUUCGUGCCAGCAGCCGCGGUAAUUC